AAUAACCAAAUACAACACUUGGGCUAUAGGUCAAGUUGGUAAUUUUGUUUACAUCUCCCCCUUCUAGAGCCUAGGUGUCAUAUAUGCCUCCAAAAUAAAGAGCCGUUACCAUCA
rnacentral:ncRNA from 1 species